AGUUGGUGGAGCGAUUUUGUUUUGUUAAUUCCAAUAACGGACCUGACAAUUUAAUAAACUUUAAACUAGUUAUGCGGCCAGAGCGGUCGGCGUCCAACUUCUUUGCGGCACAAGUAGCGUUCAGCCACACAAGAUUGAGCAAUAGCAGGU
rnacentral:rRNA from 1 species